UCACCCCUCAAGCCCCCCGGGUUUGGUUUUGGACGGCCUGGUCGGUAGAACGACCCCUCCUAAAGACAAUGACGGCGGCCUCGUGGGACCCCCGGUACACUGAGCUUCUUAACCGAGCACGUACUGGAUUGAGGGUGCCCGGGCUCCGGUCUCCCCCUUCACUGGGGACCUUUUCUUUCUAA
rnacentral:misc_RNA from 1 species